GCCGGCCGGGUCCGUAGUCCCGCUUCCAGGAGAUGGCGUCCACAUGGUGAACGUGUUUAUAAGUAGCUUCUCCAUGCAAGUCUAUGGUGACCUCAGCGGCGCUGUAGUGAACGGUAUGGCCGGGUUGCCAUGACUACUGAGCAUCUGAAUGAUGUCAUCAGGGCGGCGCCCUGAGACUACCGGAAGCUCCACGCGGACCGGAGGCUGCACACGCCGGCAUGGGGAGGCUAUUUAGAUCACGGCGCGUCGCCAUGGCAACCGACCGGCCCAUGCACAUCACUUCCUGGCUGGCUGUGACGCCGAGAUCAGAAGUGCGGGACGGGGAGGUUCGGGAUCCGUGAUGCACGCAGCUGGGAGUCAUGAAGGGGGGUUUUCUGGACUGUUCUUCCAGUGCUACCGUUGUGGGUUUUUGUGUUUUUUUUU